rnacentral:tRNA from 1 species
CAGCUGGUAAUUUAUUUAAAAUACUAACUUUGGGAGUUAACAAUCGGCCAACUCCGUCAGCUGA